CCCUUAGAUGUCCUGGGCCGCACGCGCGCUACACUGAUGCAUUCAACGAGUUUUACCUUGGCCGAGAGGCCUGGGCAAUCUUUUAAACCUGCAUCGUGAUAGGGAUAGAUUAUUGCAAUUAUUAAUCUUGAACGAGGAAUUCCUAGUAAACGCAAAUCAUCAAUUUGCAUUGAUUACGUCCCUGCCCUUUGUACACACCGCCCGUCGCACCUACCGAUUGAAUGGUUCGGUGAAGCCUCGGGAUUGUGGCCAGUUCACUUUAUUGGGAGUUGGCUGUGAGAACUUGUCUAAACCUUAUCAUUUAGAGGAAGGUGAAGUCGUAACA
rnacentral:rRNA from 1 species